CACCCCCUGUAGCGCUCGAUCACGGCCUGGGUAUUUUCUUGAGCCUAAUUGCUACCCAGGGGAUGAGGACCGCUUGGCUGUUGCGCAUGUCCGUCAUCGAGCGGAAAGCCUGAAGCCGAGCCAAUUGUCCCCACUUGAACCGCUUGGUUCAAGAACGAAGGCCGAUAACGGCGUCAAUGGGGGGUGU
rnacentral:other from 1 species